AGCAGCCGCGGUAAUUCCAGCUCCAAUAGCGUAUAUUAAAGUUGUUGCAGUUAAAAAGCUCGUAGUUGAAUUUCGGGGUUAGUAGGUUGGUCAUGCCUCUGGUAUGUACUGGUCUCACUGAUUCCUCCUUCCUGAUGAGCCGUAAUGCCAUUAAUUUGGUGUUGCGGGGAAUCUGGACUGUUACUUUGAAAAAUUAGAGUGUUUAAAGCAAGCUAACGCUUGAAUACAUUAGCAUGGAAUAAUGAAAUAGGACGUUCGAUCCUAUUUUGUUGGUUCCUAGGAUUGACGUAAUGAUUAAUAGGGAUAGUUGGGGGCAUUAGUAUUCAAUUGUCAGAGGUGGAAUUCUUGGAUUUAUUGAAGACUAACUACUGCGAAAGCAUUUGCCAAGGAUGUUUUCAUUAAUCAGGAACGAAAGUUAGGGGAUCGAAGACGAUCAGAUACCGUCGUAGUCUUAACCAUAAACUAUGCCGACUAGGGAUCGGAUGAUGUUUAAUUUUUUAAUGUACUCAUUCGGUACCG
rnacentral:misc_RNA from 1 species